rnacentral:rRNA from 1 species
GUAGGUGGCAAGCGUUGUCCGGAAUUAUUGGGCGUAAAGCGCGCGCAGGCGGUUCUUUAAGUCUGAUGUGAAAGCCCACGGCUCAACCGUGGAGGGUCAUUGGAAACUGGAGAACUUGAGUACAGAGGAGGAAAGCGGAAUUCCACGUGUAGCGGUGAAAUGCGUAGAGAUGUGGAGGAACACCAGUGGCGAAGGCGGCUUUCUGGUCUGUAACUGACGCUGAGGCGCGAAAGCGUGGGGAGCAAACAGGGAUUAGAUACCCUGGUAGUCCACGCCGUAAACGAUGAGUGCUAAGUGUUAGGGGGGUUUUCCCGCCCCCUUAGUGCUGCGGCUAACGCAUUAAGCACUCCGCCUGGGGAGUACGGCCGCAAGGCUG